rnacentral:rRNA from 1 species
AGCGAACGCUGGCGGCAGGCCUAACACAUGCCAGUCGAACGAACCUUUCGGGGUUAGUGGCGGACGGGUGAGUAACACGUGGGAACGUGCCUUUAGGUUCGGAAUAACUCAGGGAAACUUGUGCUAAUACCGAAUGUGCCCUUCGGGGGAAAGAUUUAUCGCCUUUAGAGCGGCCCGCGUCUGAUUAGCUAGUUGGUUGAGGUAAUGGCUCACCAAGGCGACGAUCAGUAGCUGGUCUGAGAGGAUGAUCAGCCACAUUGGGACUGAGACACGGCCCAAACUCCUACGGGAGGCAGCAGUGGGGAAUCUUGCGUAAUGGGCGAAAGCCUGACGCAGCCAUGCCGCGUGAAUGAUGAAGGUCUUAGGAUUGUAAAAUUCUUUCACCGGGGACGAUAAUGACGGUACCCGGAGAAGAAGCCCCGGCUAACUUCGUG